GCCCGCUUAGCUCAGAGGUAGAGCUUUGUACUUAUGAUGCAAAGGUCGGCAGUUCGAUCCUGCCAGUGGGCA
rnacentral:tRNA from 1 species